GGUCCCCCAAACUGUCAUGGCGUCGUAGAAAGAUGGCGACUACCAUUCAGCAGGCUUUUCUAGACGUACCAACCUUUUAAAUUCGAAGAAUUCGAGACAUAGUGACAAACGCGGGACAGAAGGACGACUGUGGACGGUGUCAGGGGCUGUAGGUUUUCAGGCAGUUUCUCGUCUUCAGACAAAGCUGAUCUAAUGGAGUGUGCAGUGGACACUCAGCCAGGUGGGGAUGAGGCAGCAGAGAGAGAACACACUCUGGAGGAAAUGUCUGCAAAGGAAGGAAGUGAAACUCCCCACAAGAAGAACAAGAAGCACAAAAAACACAAAAGUAAAAAGAAGAAAAAGAAACGCGGCAAGGGAGAGCGGGAGACCAGCUCAGAGUCAGCCCCGGAGUCUGACGCAGAGAAGCCGCCAGUCAGAACUAGAGCCGGGUAUGGCUCUUCCCAUUACUACCACAUCAUUGUUGGUUAUGUGUGUUCGCGUUUUUGACCGGUUUAUAAACAAGCCAGCUAGGCUUUGACUAUCAUUUAAGUGUG
ensembl:lncRNA